UACAUAAAAUUUUGAAAAAAAUUAGUUUGAAAAUUUUUUUUUCAAAAUUUUGAUUUCGAAAAUUAAUUUUUCAAAAACUGUGCCAGAAAAUGGCCAUAUUAAGCAUUUUUAUAAAAGACGAGGUUUUUGGCUUUACAAAAAGGUAUAGCACGUUAUUGGGAAUAGACCCUCCUCCCAUACGAUUUUUUUCUUGUCUCGACCGAACCUACACGCUCUAACUUUUUGGCACAUUGCUCCAUAUCUUUUGAAAAUUGCUCCGAGUACAUUACUUCCAACAAGCAUGUAAAUUUUAAAGGGCGUUGUGAACCCUCAAGAUAUUUUUUGAUCGGGCUGAGAUUUGGUAUGCUCUUUUUUGAUGACUAAUGGCACCCGUCCCUAGUAUGUAGAAGAAGAAAAAAAAAGUGCAGUUUCACUCCACCCUAGUAACCAUUGGUAAAUUUCCUUCAUAAAAUACUCCUUUUUCUAUUAUUUUUCUGAAAGAGCUUGCAAAAUUAAUGCUUUUUUCAAGCUUUUAGAACGAAAAAAAAGCAUAGGUGUUGUCGUGGUGUUAGUGGCUGUUUGAUUUUUAUUUUGUUUAUGUAGGAAAACAGUUAAUGUCAACAUUUUAACCUGCAUUUUAACAUUUCAACAGGAAAAAUUUUUUACAGAUGAGUCUAAAAUGAGUGAAUUUUUUGUUUGAUGUCAAACGAAAAUUUUAUUUUUUUUUUCGUUUUUGUGAAAUUUUACCGACAAAAUGGUUACGCUGGUACCUUUUCGAAAAAAUUUUUUCGGAUAAUACGGCAUCGCUGUGUGAGCUUUUUUAUGUGAUAGACAUAUCCAGAAGGCGUGAAGCAGAGUGAGAUGCAAAUGCCCUAUCUUCCCUGUACUGCAAAUUUUUAUCGAACAGAGUAUAGUCAUUUUGCUCAGAUUAGACAAGUUUUCUUUCCACCAGAGAGGAAAAGUUUUGCUACUAUGUCUAACCGGGCACGAGGCCUUAAAGGCAGUGAUCAUCGAUCUUUCAAAAGAUAAAACAUCAAGAUCCGCAACCGUAUCUGUACUCAGAUUAGGUAUGCUGCGUAGCUUUGCACUAAAAAUUUGGCUGAAUUUCUUCCAGUCAAUUCUUUUGGGAAUUUGGAUUCAAAAUUAAGUUGGAAGAGAAUCCAACUAUGAUCUGAAAAAGAUUUUAAUGUCUAUAUUCGCCAAUUUACUACCUGCAAUUCGGAGUUAAUAUUUAUGAGAGUAAUAUCCAGUAUCCAGCACAUCCUCCGACCCAUUAUAAUUGUCUGAACUCGGAAAAAUGAAGGUUAGAGAAGUACCUCUGUUACAAAUAGUAAUGUUGUUUUCAAUAAUACAAUAAAAUAAAGGCUCACCUCUUCGUUGAUCUCUGAACUAACCUAUAUAGUGUGAAGUGCGUUUGCGUCACACCCAAUGAGUAGGCUAGUCUUUGAUGUGUUGGCUUCAGAUGUCAGUCUGCGUACCUCAUCCGGCGGUGACUCCUGGUCAUGUGCAAAGUACGCCGAGGCCAAAGUGUUCGAACUCUCUAAUUUAACAACUGUUGGGAUACAGAAAAUCUUUUAAAUGUUUUUUAGCUAAAAUACAUGUUGUUGGCUAACCUUGGUUCGAAAUGACGGGCUUAUAAAAAAGGUCAUAUUGGCUGUCUUGGAGGCCUCUCACUUGAAGGCCAUUAAUCCAGGAUUCUUGGAUCAUGCCCACAUCGAAGUUUUCCUCCCUCAGGCUAUCCGAAGCACAUUUAAGAGUGCUUCAGAUUAACCUGAAUUACGCGCAGCAUGUUUUUAAUUCUUAUCAGAUCCUGGACAGUCAGUUGCCGGCACCUCGCCUGAAACCCCAGCCUUUUUAGAGACAUCGUCAGCCUCGGCAAUAUCCUCAACCAGGUUAGGGUCCAUUUCCUGACUGCAGAAUCUUGAUUUUGGCAUGGCCAAAGAAAAGCUUAAAAUCGGAUUUUUCGAGAGCCCCACGGCCGACUUCGCAAAUCCUCAGAAGGUAAGACUCGCUGUGCCCAGUCAUGCAUCGGAAUCGGCGGGUUUAACUUCUGGACACUACGAAUCAGUUCCGGUCCACUUGGCUUGAUACUCAUGAGGGGCAGCCAAAUGCAAGCCAGCGGUUGUCUUGGUAUUUCCUUAGCUGGGAUAAGCUUGAGCUUCAAGCCAGUAUUGCUGAUCUCAGCAAUAUUUUUACUAAGGAAAUCCCUAGAAAACCCAUCUUGAUUAUCCUGUAUCCCCUGAGAAUCUCACCGGAGUCGAAACGUGGGAAGGGUUCCUCAGUUUCAGAAAGGGUAUAAAGGAACACCAUCUCAGACAGCUUAGCCUCGAUGGAGUUCCGCACUGACAUCAGAGCUCUGUUGUUAGUGGAGAGCUCAUGUACAAUCGCCACUUGAAGAUCGUCCCUAACAAUCUCACUUAAAGUGAGCGAUUGUACCGCUCCCUGAGGUGGUGCUUUCUUAUUACUGCCGCCGGUUCUGGAUUUUUUCUGAGGGAGAUUAGCUUCCUCACAAGACCUUUUUCUCUUGACGGUCUUUUUUGGCUCAAUAAGAAGAUUCUUGUAUUCUUAAGUUUAAUUAAAUUUUACGAAACUCACCGCGUAUUUAUAAGAAAUAUUUAAUUUUAUUUCUUCGCCCCGACGUUUCGAAGAACUUUCAAACUUCGCGGUCACGGGAUUAAAAUGGGUUUGAUGGAUGUUGUUAAUUGUUGUUGUUUGUUCUCGAUCGCACACGCAAGUUGUACCUGUGCGUAGUUGUUGGUGCAUUUUAUAUUGCAGAAAAUGAUUGAUACCCGCGAAAAGCAUAACUUAAAAUCUAGUAUUCUUGUACUCCUCAAUAAUCUUCCCAUAUUUAAUUUUGUUAGCGGCAUCGUUCUCGUGUGGAGUUCCAGCUUCCUCAUUUAAAGCAAUAUUUCCAAGAAUGAAGGAAGCCCACUUGAAUUCCGCUCUGCGAUACGAAAUUGCUGUUCUUUUCUUACGGCGGGUAGCAUCGCUUUGGCUGGCUUUGCUACCCCAAGGAUUUAUAAGGCUUGAUAAGGGUCGAAGCACAGGGGUACUAUGGCUGGUACCGCCUGCAUUUCAAGGUUUGCAGGUUACUCAGGCAUGCUAGUGUCUCCAGCAUUAAGUGAACAACCGACUUUAGCCUCCUGGUUCGAGGCCAAAAGUUCAUCCUCAAUAUAGGAUGUAUUAGCGUCUGUUCUGUGGUUUUCGUCCAUUUUUAAUUGACGUAUAUAAGUUGACGUCCCACGAGUAGGUCGAAAAAGAAAGGUCAACCCCGGCAGAGCCGAUUACCGGGACAAGGCAAAAAUUAUGACGGAUCCUGCCAAGGCAUCCGAAAGAGCUCCUUCGCGACUGGCUUGUCCCCCAGUCUUCUAUUUCUUCGGCACGGAUUAUGAAAACGUACACCCCACCACUGAAAAUUGGGAACCUUGUAUCGAUGGUAAAAUUGGUAAAAUUUCUGGUUGUUUAACUAUUGAGGAGUUAAAAAACAACACAGCUAUGCAACAUGACCUUAGCUGAUCCCCAUCUUUCCAAAAACGCACAAGAUAAAAAAAAAACUGUGGAGAUCAUUACCGCCUAGAGUUUUAAGAAGAAAUGAUGAUAAACUGAUAGGUCGCAGGUAUUUCGGAUUAACAUGAGAGAAUUUGCCUGCUUUGGGCAUGAAUACAACUUUAACUUCUCUCCAUAGGCCAGGCAUGUGUUUCAAGUCUACACAUCCAUUCAGAAUUAUCUCUAAGAUGGGAUUUUGAAUAUCUGAUGCCAAUGGAAGUUCGGCUGGUAUUAUACCAUCUGGUGCUGUUUUUAUAUAUAACUUAUAUAUAUAUAUAGUAUAACUUCAAAGAUUUUUUAAUAAAAUAAAUUUUUUUCCCUAAACAUUUUUCCAAAGGAGAAUGCCCAAAAAAAAACCAGUAUCGAUACGAAUGAGACCUAUAUGGCUUGAAAGGGCAUCAAUAGUAGAACCUUUAAAAAAGAGGACUUAAAAGAAAAAAAAAACAAAGAACAAAAAAGAGA